rnacentral:rRNA from 1 species
ACUCCUACGGGAGGCAGCAGUGGGGAAUCUUGCGCAAUGGGCGAAAGCCUGACGCAGCCAUGCCGCGUGAAUGAUGAAGGUCUUAGGAUUGUAAAAUUCUUUCACCGGGGACGAUAAUGACGGUACCCGGAGAAGAAGCCCCGGCUAACUUCGUGCCAGCAGCCGCGGUAAUACGAAGGGGGCUAGCGUUGCUCGGAAUUACUGGGCGUAAAGGGAGCGUAGGCGGACAUUUAAGUCAGGGGUGAAAUCCCGGGGCUCAACCUCGGAAUUGCCUUUGAUACUGGGUGUCUUGAGUAUGAGAGAGGUGUGUGGAACUCCGAGUGUAGAGGUGAAAUUCGUAGAUAUUCGGAAGAACACCAGUGGCGAAGGCGACACACUGGCUCAUUACUGACGCUGAGGCUCGAAAGCGUGGGGAGCAAACAGGAUUAGAUACCCUAGUAGUCCCAU